rnacentral:rRNA from 1 species
CUGGCUCAGAUUGAACGCUGGCGGCAUGCCUUACACAUGCAAGUCGAACGGCAGCACGGGGGCAACCCUGGUGGCGAGUGGCGAACGGGUGAGUAAUACAUCGGAACGUGCCCAGUAGUGGGGGAUAGCCCGGCGAAAGCCGGAUUAAUACCGCAUACGACCUACGGGUGAAAGCGGGGGAUCGCAAGACCUCGCGCUAUUGGAGCGGCCGAUGGCAGAUUAGCUUGUUGGUGGGGUAAAGGCCCACCAAGGCGACGAUCUGUAGCUGGUCUGAGAGGACGACCAGCCACACUGGGACUGAGACACGGCCCAGACUCCUACGGGAGGCAGCAGUGGGGAAUUUUGGACAAUGGGCGCAAGCCUGAUCCAGCCAUGCCGCGUGCGGGAAGAAGGCCUUCGGGUUGUAAACCGCUUUUGUCAGGGAAGAAACGCGCCGGAUUAAUACCUCGGCGUAAUGACGGUACCUGAAGAAUAAGCACCGGCUAACUACGUGCCAGCAGCCGCGGUAAUACGUAGGGUGCGAGCGUUAAUCGGAAUUACUGGGCGUAAAGCGUGCGCAGGCGGCUUUGCAAGACAGAUGUGAAAUCCCCGGGCUUAACCUGGGAACUGCAUUUGUGACUGCAUGGCUGGAGUGCGGCAGAGGGGGAUGGAAUUCCGCGUGUAGCAGUGAAAUGCGUAGAUAUGCGGAGGAACACCGAUGGCGAAGGCAAUCCCCUGGGCCUGCACUGACGCUCAUGCACGAAAGCGUGGGGAGCAA